rnacentral:rRNA from 1 species
UAGGGAAUCUUCGGCAAUGGGGGGAACCCUGACCGAGCAACGCCGCGUGAGUGAAGAAGGUUUUCGGAUCGUAAAGCUCUGUUGUUAAGGAAGAACGAGUGUGAGAAUGGAAAGUUCAUGCUGUGACGCUACUUAACCAGAAAGGGACGGCUAACUACGUGCCAGCAGCCGCGGUAAUACGUAGGUCCCGAGCGUUGUCCGGAUUUAUUGGGCGUAAAGCGAGCGCAGGCGGUUAGAAAAGUCUGAAGUGAAAGGCAGUGGCUCAACCAUUGUAGGCUUUGGAAACUGUUUAACUUGAGUGCAGAAGGGGAGAGUGGAAUUCCAUGUGUAGCGGUGAAAUGCGUAGAUAUAUGGAGGAACACCGGUGGCGAAAGCGGCUCUCUGGUCUGUAACUGACGCUGAGGCUCGAAAGCGUGGGGAGCGAACAGG